ACGGAGGGUGCGAGCGUUGUGCGGAAUCACUGGGCGUAAAGGGCGCGUAGGCGGCGCGGGUAGUCAACGGUGAAAGCUUGGGGCUCAACCCCGAGUCGGCCGUCGAUACUCCCGUGCUUGAGCACUGUAGAGGCAGGUGGAAUUCCGGGUGUAGCGGUGGAAUGCGUAGAGAUCCGGAAGAACACCGGUGGCGAAGGCGGCCUGCUGGGCAGUAGCUGACGCUGAGGCGCGACAGCGUGGGGAGCAAACAGGA
rnacentral:rRNA from 1 species